UACGGAGGGUGCAAACGUUGCUCGGAUUCAUUGGGCGUAAAGAGCACGCAGGCGGUUUGGCAAGUCGGAUGUGAAAACCCGAAGCUCAACUUCGGGCCUGCAUCCGAAACUGCCCGACUAGAGGUAGGUAGGGGAGAUCGGAAUUCCGGGUGUAGCGGUGAAAUGCGUAGAUAUCCGGAGGAACACCGGUGGCGAAGGCGGCUUCCUGGACCGACACUGACGCUGAGGCGCGAAAGCUAGGGGAGCAAACGGG
rnacentral:rRNA from 1 species